AUUGAACGCUGGCGGCAUGCCUUACACAUGCAAGUCGAACGGCAGCACGGACUUCGGUCUGGUGGCGAGUGGCGAACGGGUGAGUAAUGUAUCGGAACGUACCAUUGAGUGGGGGAUAACGUAGCGAAAGUUACGCUAAUACCGCAUAUACCCCGAGGGGGAAAGCAGGGGAUCUUAGGACCUUGUGCUCUUUGAGCGGCCGAUAUCAGAUUAGCUAGUUGGUGAGGUAAAGGCUCACCAAGGCGACGAUCUGUAGCGGGUCUGAGAGGAUGAUCCGCCACACUGGGACUGAGACACGGCCCAGACUCCUACGGGAGGCAGCAGUGGGGAAUUUUGGACAAUGGGGGCAACCCUGAUCCAGCCAUGCCGCGUGAGUGAAGAAGGCCUUCGGGUUGUAAAGCUCUUUCAGCCGGGAAGAAAUCGUGGUGGCUAAUAUCCAUCAUGGAUGACGGUACCGGAAUAAAAAGCACCGGCUAACUACGUGCCAGCCGCCGCCGUAAGAC
rnacentral:rRNA from 1 species